GACGAACGCUGGCGGCGUGCCUAAUACAUGCAAGUAGAACGCACAGUUUAUACCGUAGCUUGCUACACCAUAGACUGUGAGUUGCGAACGGGUGAGUAACGCGUAGGUAACCUGCCUGGUAGCGGGGGAUAACUAUUGGAAACGAUAGCUAAUACCGCAUAAUAUUAAUUAUUGCAUGAUAAUUAAUUGAAAGGUGCAAUUGCACCACUACCAGAUGGACCUGCGUUGUAUUAGCUAGUAGGUGAGGUAACGGCUCACCUAGGCGACGAUACAUAGCCGACCUGAGAGGGUGAUCGGCCACACUGGGACUGAGACACGGCCCAGACUCCUACGGGAGGCAGCAGUAGGGAAUCUUCGGCAAUGGACGAAAGUCUGACCGAGCAACGCCGCGUGAGUGAAGAAGGUGUUCGGAUCGUAAAGCUCUGUUGUAAGAGAAGAACGGGUGUGAGAGUGGAAAGUUCACACUGUGACGGUAUCUUACCAGAAAGGGACGGCUAACUACGUGC
rnacentral:rRNA from 1 species